GGGGAAAUUCAGCUCAGACUUAGUUCAUGCAGGACACGGAAGUCAUACGUUCGCUGAUUGAAUUAUCAUUCCUGGCAGAACACACACCAAUC